AGAAAAACCAUAUAGCUGUAGUUCACAGCAGCAGCCCUACCUCAGAUCCUAUUCCUUAAGGCCACCUGAAUAUCCAAGUCCCAGGGCAUUUUGCUAUGGAAAAUGAGGCCAGGCUAACAUUCAGAGCAGCUGGGAAGUUGAGGCUGGGGGAGAAGCAGAGAGAGGUCAGCAUUGUUCGGAGUGUCAGAAUGAGGCAUCGCUGGAUGGAGACUUGGAUCAGGACAUCAUGUGCAAGGAAAAAAAAAGAAAGGCUUAACUACUUACUGCAAGCUAUUACUAUGGUGAGGUGCCUUGGGGCGGCAAAGAAGUACUGGAUAGACUCCGGCCCUCAGCAAUAAAAAUGGAAGCCUAGCAGCUGCCGCUGACAGAGCGCUCUCCA